UUGGGAGUGUCAAACAUAAUAUAAGGGCAUGUUGAAGUAAAUUUUCAAAAUAGCAAAUUGGUAAACUACAAAUGGAUCGUCCACAUUUGUAGGGUUUUAACGUGUAAGGUGGAUUUAGCCACAAGCGGAAAUUACAUCUGUCCAAAAACUUGAGGUGAAGGGAAGCGUGGCAGCGUGUCAUCGUAAUACGUUCGUUUUCCGAUAGUAUCGUCAUGAAUACCGUUUCUUCCUCAAUCCGAUUUGUAGGGUCGUUGUUUAAACCAAGAGUUUUUUUUUCUAUAUAUAUAUAGAGGGUUUUUCAAUCUUAUUUUCUAUAGAACCAAGUGCUCAACGAUACAUAAUUUUGAACCACAAGAAAAUUGAAAUUAAGAAAAAAAUGAAAUCAGUUGUAAUUUUUUUGAUUAUUCUUAGCAUACUUGGUGCAGAAUCCACAUCUACAUUUAAGGAUUCCCCUACGGAUACCAACCAUGCGGUUGAUCUUCAUAAAUUUUGUAAACUUGGUUGUGUCUUUUCUCUUUGCAGCAAUGUUUCCACCCCAGAAAACCUGAAUGUGGACAAAGUAGAAAGUUGUGUGAAUGGGUGUGAUCAAACGUGUAAGAAGAACUGAUGCUAAAGAAAAGAAGAUGAAGUAUACUGAGAGGAGAAGGGAACAGGGAUUGGCUUUCCAAGAUAUACUAUAUAUGAAUAAACAAAAAUCAAGUGAUGAAAAUUAAAACCAUUGGUUUAAAAAGAUUAUUAUUUCAUAUUUAAGCAUAUGUUUUGUUUUGAUAUAAAUAAAGUUUCAAGUUUUUGCAUGUCGUAA